CUCCCAUCGAACGGGAGCUGGGGCUGCCUCACUGAACGUCGCUGUUGUAUAGGACACAAUCAAAAUGCCCCUGGAUCACUCGUGGCAUGUAGACAUUGCCCGCUCGCGACUGGGUAUGACCGCAGCGCCUGGAGAAUGCUCGCUUGUGACUAGUCACGACUGCCACACCUGGAUGAUGAUAUUGCCUCACUCCUAUCAGCUUGACUAAACGAACAAAUUAGGGAGUACCAAGGCCAAACAUUUGGUCCUUCAGGUACAUCUUCUGUUAUUUUGUCAGUCAUGUGAUCAUGGGGACUCUCAUCUCAAUUUCGUUUUGGUUGUCCAUCAACACGCACCAGCAAAGCUUUACUUAGGUGGCAGUACAAUAUAAUAUGGUAUGAAUGAUUGGCGAAUAAAUGCUGCAUCUGUUCUUCUUGUGCUGAUUCAGGAAUGCAAUCAAGGCAGGUGAAAGGCCUAUGACUACUAAGAAGGAACACAUACUGCAAAAUGAAUCAGAUGCGUGUAAUCAGAAGUUUCUCGACCGACCAAUCAUGAUUCAUGGGAAUUGACAUUUAUCCGUAGUGAAGUACACACAUUGUAUUUAACACAAUUGAUCUCGUGGUACUAAAAUUUUAUGCCCAAUAUAUGCAAGGUCCCCCGCAAGGGCACGAGUAGCAUUAAACACGAAAGGUAGGCGUCAAAGCUUGUGAAGAAAUGAAGCACUUCCAAGUUGUUGGCCGACGAUGAUGAUGAGAUUGACAACCACACGACGAGCUCGCCGAGUGCAUCCUCUAAAGGAAACAAUAGCACAUAUUUCCGAGAGGAGUCCGAAGGAGAAUUGAAUAAAUGGAUGAUGAAGCCGGUGUUCACAAUCUUGAUGUAUGCCAUUCUUUCUAGGAUCUGAUCUUUUUGUACAUAAAAACGCAUAGUCAAAUAAAAUUUACAACAUCGCUUUUCCAAAAAAAAAGUUUUGAUGUGUCUUAUUUUAGGUCAGCAUCAAGUGCAGUUUUUUAAUUUUGAUUCUGAUGCUUGGAUUGAGGAGAUGGACAGACGACGAUAAUCAGUGCAGGAAGAAGACUGAUGUAAUGGCAAUGUUGACAAUACCAUCUGAUGUCCAUGUGGAUAUGACCAAUGCCACUAGAAUUAGCUCCUCCUCCCCCGUUGUAACGCACGGGCAAUUACCUAGUGCUUAAAAAAAAGCAUGGA